rnacentral:sRNA from 1 species
UACGCUUAGAUUGAAAUUGACUUUUUUCCGAAAGUAGAGCGAAUUCAGUUGUUAUUUUUUGCAAACCUGUAGAACACCUGUUCAAAUUAUCUUUGCGAUAUUUGAAGUAUCGUAGCUACGUGGCAACAUAAGGUGCUAACAACAAUUACAAUGAAGAAUAUCGCGUGUCUGAUUUUGCUAGUCGCUUUGGCUAUGGCAACAGCUCAAACUGAGGUCACGGAUAUUGGGAAUACUACUACUACUACUACUACUACUACUACUACUGCAGCAGCUCUUUUGGAGGAGACAAGACGUGGCAGAAAAUUCCGAGAGACUUGCACCCGGAAAGGCACCAAAUUUGUGAAGAACCAAGCCUGCCAAGCUUACUGCAUAAUGAAUGGCUAUAGAUCCGGACAUUGUAACAAAAAGGAUUGCAUCUGUACCAAAAAAGGAAGAAAAUUGUAAAUAAUAGAGGAAAUUGUAAAAUUUGUAAAUAAAAUUAAAGACCGCUCUCGUA